AGCAGUGGGGAAUUUUCCGCAAUGGGCGAAAGCCUGACGGAGCAAUACCGCGUGAGGGAGGAAGGCUCUUGGGUUGUAAACCUCUUUUCUCAGGGAAGAAAAAUGACGGUACCUGAGGAAUAAGCAUCGGCCAACUCCGUGCCAGCAGCCGCGGUAAUACGGAGGAUGCAAGCGUUAUCCGGAAUGAUUGGGCGUAAAGCGUCCGCAGGUGGCAUUUCAAGUCUGCCGUUAAAUACUGGGGCUUAACCCUGGAAAGGCGGUGGAAACUGAGAAGCUAGAGUGCGGUGGGGGCAGAGGGAAUUCCUGGUGUAGCGGUGAAAUGCGUAGAGCUCAGGAAGAACACCGGUGGCGAAAGCGCUCUGCUAGGCCGUAACUGACACUCAUG
rnacentral:rRNA from 1 species